rnacentral:ncRNA from 1 species
UUACCUCCUACAGCUUUAUGGAUUGGUAUUAGGCACAACCCUACCUGCCCACAACACCUAGUUCCACCACACCCCCAAGGGUAAUCAGCAGUGAUAAAUAUUGUGCAUAAGCGACAGCUUGACCCAGAGAUAGAGAAGAGGGCCGGCCAAUACUGUGCCAGCCGCCGCGGCUACACAAUAGGCCCAAGUAGAUGGUCAUUCGGCGUUAAGCGUGAUUAAAGGAAUUCCUACAUUAGGGUUAAAUUAAUACUUAGUUGUGAUAAGCUUGUUAUUGAGAAAACCAUAAACGAAAGUUACCCUAAUUAUACCUUGAAUACACGACAGCUGAGACACAAACUGGGAUUAGAUACCCCACUAUGCUCAGCCGUAAAAAAUCUACUAACACCAUACAGCGCCAGGGUAUUACGAGCUAUGCUUAAAACCCAAAGGACUUGACGGUGUCCUACCCACCUAGAGGAGCCUGUUCUAUAAUUGAUAAUCCCCGUUCUACCUUACCAUUCCUAGCUUAUCAGUCUGUAUACCUCCGUCGAAAGCCUACCGUGAGAACGUUUGCAGUAGGCUAAAUGGCCCAACCGCCAACACGUCAGGUCAAGGUGCAACUUAAGGAAUGGGAAGUAAUGGGCUACAAUUUCUAAAUUAGAAUACACGAAAGAAUAUGUGAAAUCAUAAUCUAAAGGCGGAUUUAGUAGUAAAAAGAAAGUAGAGUGUUCUUUUUAAUUUGGCAAUAGGACGUGUACACACCGCCCGUCACCCUCUUCAAUAAACCGCUAGCCAUAGUUUCUAACCAAUUAUUGCCACCCCCCCGAGAAGAGGUAAGUCGUAACACGGUAGGAGUACUGGAAAGUGCCCCUGGAAAACAU